rnacentral:misc_RNA from 1 species
GAUACGAGGAGCUGUCGAUA